AUGUUAUAAUAUAGUUUUAUAAUGAAAACUUUUGUGUAAUACCUAACUAACGUUAUAAUUUAAACAUCCUUUUUUUAGGAAACGUGACUUGUACACCUCCAUUACAAAUGAGGAGUUGGAUAGAGUAUUGGCGGAACUACACCACAGAUACCCUAAUGCUGGCUACAAGAUGAUCUUGGGACACAUAAGAUCCAGGCAACUUCGUAUACAAAAACACAGGGUUUUAGCAUCAUUAAGACGAGUAGAUCCUGAAGGAAUGGAACUGCGCAGGUUACGCCUUAGGACGUCUCGACGCCGACGUUACAGUGUACCGGCACCCAACUAUUUGUGGCACAUUGACGGGAAUCAUAAACUUAUUCGAUGGAGAAUUGUUAUCCAUGGGGGAAUUGACGGCUAUUCCCGGCUUGUGGUGUACUUAAAAGCUGCUACAAACAACAAGGCUCAAACAAUGCUGCAAAGCUUCCUGUCUGCAGUAGACCUAUAUGGUGUUCCCUCUAGAGUGCGUUCUGAUAAGGGGGGAAUAUAAUGGUUGCCCGCUUCAUGACACGAACCAGAGGAAUAAACAGACAUUCACACAUUACAGGAAGAAGUGUACACAACCAGAGAAUUGAGCGGCUGUGGAGAGAUGUCUUUGACCAAGUAACAGACCUCUUCUACACUACCUUUCGUCGGUUGGAAGAUGAAGGAUGGCUUAAUCCGGACCAGGAUGUGGACUUGUUUGCCUUGCACUGGUCUUACAUGCCUCAAAUUCAGAGGCAUCUACAAGAAUUUCGGAGUGCCUGGAAUUGUCACAGUUUAAGAUCUGAAGGCAACAGAACUCCUCUGCAGCUUUGGUCAAAUCGUGAGAGGGAUGACUUAAAUCGGAUUGACAUUGAUGAAGUCAGGGAAGACCUUCAAGGGCAACCAGCAGGUGUUCAUGUUCCUGAGUUGGAUCUGCCUCGUGGCUUGACUGAAGAAGAGCUGGCAACACGAUCAAGCCCGGAUGUACCUUUGUCAGAUGCAUUAUCUGUCUACAUGGACACAGUUCUUGCUGUGAAACAAAUGCUUGGUGAAUCAGUCUUUUCUCUUAAAAAGGUUAAAAUACUUCAGGAAUGUAAAUUGUAUAUGUGCAUAUCAGACAUGCAUGUUGUACCGUUGAACAGGAACUACAGACACAGAAACAUCUGAAAAAGCAUUU